UAUAAGGUUUAUAGGCACAAGCCUGAUACAUUCUGUUACAUGCUAUGGGGUAUAUGGAAAAACGUAGAGCAGGAAAUACAAAGAAAGCUUGCGCCUUCCGAGUCUAUCCAGGUCUACAAGAGGUGCACAGGUGGAGAGAUGAAUGGUGGGUGUGCACAUGCCCCAAAGAGGGCCAGCAACAACCACACCAAGUUCAUUCAAUAAUGAUCCUUCCGCAGGUUCACCUACGGAAA
rnacentral:misc_RNA from 1 species